rnacentral:lncRNA from 1 species
CAUCUUCUUCGUCGACUGCAGAGACUUGACCAUACUGAAUGAUGCCAGCACUGGAGAAAGUGAUCGGCCCCUGAAGUGUUGAAGUUGUAGAAGUCAGAGCUGGCUGGUAUCCAAUCCCGAACUUAUCUUCCUUAACUGGUAAUUCCAACAGACGUCCCCAACCGGGAGCAACACCUGAAUCCACCACGGCUUGUGCCUGCUUAAAGGAUGAGAUAGAGGCACCCGCUUUAACCUCUUCCACCGGAGCUG